rnacentral:rRNA from 1 species
CGGGUGAGUAAUGUCUGGGAAACUGCCCGAUGGAGGGGGAUAACUACUGGAAACGGUAGCUAAUACCGCAUAACAUCGCAAGACCAAAGAGGGGGGCCUUCGGGCCUCUUGCCAUCGGAUGUGCCCAGAUGGGAUUAGCUAGUAGGUGGGGCAACGGCUCACCUAGGCGACGAUCCCUAGCUGGUCUGAGAGGAUGACCAGCCACACUGGAACUGAGACACGGUCCAG